GGAAUCUGCUGCUUCCAAAUCCAGAUUAUCGAGGAUUUUCUGCUGGUGGAGGAUGCGCUUCUUCUGGAAGAGAUGGCUGAGGAGGAUGAGGAGCUCGACCUGUACAACGAGAUGACUUUUGGGUUAGAGCCAGGACUCAGCAGUGCUGGACAGCGGGAUUGGGACUUGCUGGGAAGAGUUUGGCAAGGAGGACACGGUAAAAAUGUCCCCACCCAUCUGGUGAUGAGGCAGAGUGGCUCCUGUGGUGUCCCCUGCUCUCUCCUCCUGUUCACUUGCCUCAUGCCACCAUCUCUCUGUUUUCCAGCCGGCAAUGGAUCCCACGGCAUGGGGCUCCUGCCCUGGCAGUGUCCCACGCCACCUCAUGCUGGAGGAUAAAGCCAUUCUCCAGGUCCUGGAGAGACCUCCACCAUCUGCCAACAUGGCUCUCGACUUCCUUGGUUCUCCUGUGCAGAGGGGCUAUGGGGGUUCUUCCCGGCUCAAGUGCCCUGACUUAAGACUGAUGUCCCCCAAGCCUUUCUCCCAGUGCUUUCUCCAGCAGGUAACAGGUUUGCGGCUACUCUUGUAUCCCUUCUUUCUCUACCUUCCCUCCCUGGAGGUGAAGCCUUGAGGAUAGGCUUGUCUGAGUGACACCUCCUGUGUCUUGCUCUGCACCAGGCACCCCUGAUAUCUCCUCGCUCCCCGUGCUCUCCUCAACCCUUCCCACCAGCUUGCAGAACCCCUCCG
rnacentral:lncRNA from 1 species